rnacentral:rRNA from 1 species
UACGUAGGGUGCGAGCGUUAAUCGGAAUUACUGGGCGUAAAGCGUGCGCAGGCGGUCUGUUAAGACCGAUGUGAAAUCCCCGGGCUUAACCUGGGAACUGCAUUGGUGACUGGCAGGCUUUGAGUGUGGCAGAGGGAGGUAGAAUUCCACGUGUAGCAGUGAAAUGCGUAGAGAUGUGGAGGAACACCGAUGGCGAAGGCAGCCCCCUGGGCCUGUACUGACGCUCAUGCACGAAAGCGUGGGGAGCAAACAGG